GUGCCAGCCGCCGCGGUAAUACGGAGGGUGCAAGCGUUAUCCGGAUUCACUGGGUUUAAAGGGUGCGUAGGUGGAUUGGUAAGUCCGUGGUGAAAUCCCCGAGCUUAACUUGGGAACUGCCAUGGAUACUAUUAAUCUUGAAUGUCGUGGAGAUGAGCGGAAUAUGUCAUGUAGCGGUGAAAUGCUUAGAUAUGACAUAGAACACCAAUUGCGAAGGCAGCUCGUUACGCGAAUAUUGACACUGAUGCACGAAAGCGUGGGGAUCAAACAGGAUUAGAAACCCCCGUAGUCC
rnacentral:rRNA from 1 species